ACGGGUGAGUAACGCGUGGGUAACCUGCCCUGUACAGGGGGAUAACAGCUGGAAACGGCUGCUAAUACCGCAUAAGCGCACGAGGAGACAUCCCCUUGUGUGAAAAACUCCGGUGGUACAGGAUGGGCCCGCGUCUGAUUAGCUGGUUGGUGAGGUAACGGCUCACCAAGGCGACGAUCAGUAGCCGGCUUGAGAGAGUGGACGGCCACAUUGGGACUGAGACACGGACCAGACUCCUACGGGAGGCAGCAUG
rnacentral:rRNA from 1 species